rnacentral:rRNA from 1 species
GCUCAACCGAAGAAGUGCAUCGGAAACUGGAAAACUUGAGUGCAGAAGAGGACAGUGGAACUCCAUGUGUAGCGGUGAAAUGCGUAGAUAUAUGGAAGAACACCAGUGGCGAAGGCGGCUGUCUGGUCUGUAACUGACGCUGAGGCUCGAAAGUAUGGGUAGCAAACAGGAUUAGAUACCCUGGUAGUCCAUACCGUAAACGAUGAAUGCUAAGUGUUGGAGGGUUUCCGCCCUUCAGUGCUGCAGCUAACGCAUUAAGCAUUCCGCCUGGGGAGUACGGCCGCAAGGCUGAAACUCAAAGGAAUUGACGGGGGCCCGCACAAGCGGUGGAGCAUGUGGUUUAAUUCGAAGCUACGCGAAGAACCUUACCAGGUCUUGACAUACUAUGCAAAUCUAAGAGAUUAGACGUUCCCUUCGGGGACAUGGAUACAGGUGGUGCAUGGUUGUCGUCAGCUCGUGUCGUGAGAUGUUGGGUUAAGUCCCGCAACGAGCGCAACCCUUAUUAUCAGUUGCCAGCAUUAAGUUGGGCACUCUGGUGAGACUGCCGGUGACAAACCGGAGGAAGGUGGGGAUGACGUCAAAUCAUCAUGCCCCUUAUGACCUGGGGCUACACACGUGCUACAAUGGAUGGUACAACG